GGGUGCGGACACACGUAGUGACACUGCUUAUCUGGGGGGAUACGCCUUUCGAAAGGAAGAUUAAUACCCCAUAACUAUGUUGGAUGGCAUCAUUCGACAUUGAAGAGACUCCGUGUGGAUACGACGNUCGGGCCAACUGCGCAAGAUUAGAUACGGUUGGUGAGUGUACACUGUGGCUCCACAAUGUCUACGAUCUUUAGUCGGUGGCCCUGAGAGGGGUGAUCCCCCAACUGGUACUUGAAGAACACGGGACCAAGACUACCUAACGUGGAGNNGCACAGCACGUGAGUGAACUCAUUUGGGACACNUGGGUGUGAGCAGCACACUUGAAUACACACGGUACAUNNACCCAUGGCUGGUUGAAAGUGGAACAUGAACNUUUAGGCCCACCCUUAACUUNAGGAGGGUUUUAGGUGCAAACAAACAUUCUACAUAUAUCGUUAGGUAACUUCAGAGUGGGNAAUUAAACACACGACCUUUAAAAGCACCCUUACCCGGUAGAGAAAGUAGUGAGGUUAAAGAGCUUUAGAAACAGUAGGAUAACNUUUACAAUUACAGACCCUGUACUAAUUUCAAAANUGACGAAGACCCACGUGGGGA
rnacentral:rRNA from 1 species